GGAUUUAUUUGACAUACAGGGUGAGAUGAAAAAAAUGCAACAAACUUCAGACUGCUUUCAUUUCUAAGCCACUCGUCCGACAGCUGUUAAAAUUAUUCCAGAGACAGCUUAUUAUAUUGUUUACAAGCGUACAAAAGCAUUUUGGUGAGAAUUUUAAAGGAAAAAAAUAUUCGCGAUGGAAUUCAAGCGUCAUAGUCUAAUUUCUUUAUAUUCGGCUGGAAAACCACAACUCGCUAUCGUUAGAGCACUCCAGCAUUUAAUGGUGAAUAAAUCUUUUGUGUCUCGUACCAUCGCUCGUGAACGGAAGAAAACAGCAACAUCAGCAGAAAUGGUUCGAAAAGUAAAGAAACGACUUGAUCGAAACCCGCGUCACAGUGGCCGAAAACUGACUCGUGAGCUGAACAUAUCGCAAUAUUCUAUUCGGCAAAUAUUGA